GAAACACAUUGAAUUUUAUUUCAGCUCUAUGAAGAGCUCAUCAGAAGUUCAGUAACUGAAAACUCCAGUAAAUGUGUUAGUCUUCAUUUCUAGUACCAUCCACAUACUAUAUAUGAUACUCUGUGCUAUAAAAAAAUGAAAUUGGCAGGAAUUAAUGAGUUAGAAACUCUCUUGAGCUUUCUACAAGAUCAUGCUUUGGAAUAUAGGCAAAUAGAGGUCAGACUAAGCAAAAUUAUGCUGAUUUUUCUCCUAGGAAGGAUGUGGCGUCUUAGUCAGUCACCAUGCUAUACUAACUCUGUCUAUUUGUAUUCCCCAGAGAGCAUGCUGCAUCAGGAGUACCCUCCCAUUCAUACAUUCAAAUCAUAUAUUUUGAAGAUAGUCUGCUUCUGACAAGGGAUUCCUUGGGUUUACUCUGUUGCAUUCCAGGUAGCGCCUCUUCAGGACCCUGCAUAACUGGACCUGCUGGACGGUUCAAGUGGCGCCUGAACAGGGACGUGAAGCACGGCCAACUACCGGACGACAGAGACAGGACAUCUGCGGAAAAACUGAGGACUCUUCAGGCCGCAUCUCUCGUGUGUCGCUGGAGAGGGAGACCAUGCUGACCAGGGGAACCUUCAUCUGGAUCCUUGGAAGCAUCAUCACGUCUGCCCUUGCUACAUAGCCUCAUCAGAUCUUCAACUAUACCUGGGUGAUUCUUAAUGGCACCAGAGAUGUGGUGUCUGCCAACUCCACCAUUGCUGCACGAGUUCCCUGGACCAAUUUUGAGUUCCUGCAGUUCUGGGAAAGAGGCAACCUGUCACUGCUGUGACUCUUGCAGUACUUCUAGGCCUGUCAGCUGUGGGGACAGGAACUGGGGUUGCCUACCUGAUCACCUCCCAACAGAGUUAUCAUCAGCUCAGUGCCACCAUAGACAAGGACAUCAGUGAGCUAUAACAAGGAAUAACCUAUAUUAAAGACUCAGUUGCUUCCUUGGCUGAGGUUGCUCUACAAAAUAGAAGGGGUUUAGAUCUUCUCUUUCUCCAACAGGGAGGGCUCUGUGCGGCCCUCAAGGAGUGUUGCUUUUAUGCUGAUAAGACAGGAUUAGUAGAAAACAGCCUAGAAAAGUAAGAGAAAGUCUACAAAAGAGACAAAGAGAAAGAGAAAAGAGUGAAGCUUGGUAUAAAAAUUGGUUUUCUGCCUCUCCCCUGCUCACCACUCUUCUACCCAGUAUCCUGGGUCCCUUUAUAGGACUCCUGCUACUCGUCUACUUUGGCCCAUGGGUGCUUAAAAGUUAAAUGAUUUUAUCAAGGCCCAGGUGGAUUCAGCUACCAACAGGUCUCAGUCCAUUACCACUGCCUCCAUUGUGAGGAGGCUGAGACAACCGGGGAGUGUGAUACUCCCCUUGGGUUGCCAACGGCUGGCCUGGACUUCUCCACCCUAAAUACAACCUAUAACUCAGGCUGGAAAAUCAGUCACUGGUGGAAGCCUCAAUGAUGGGAAUAUUAUGGUGCCACAUACCAGGUGCACACCUCACCGCUGUGAAGUAACCCUAUGACACGAUAAGCACGGGUCCAUGAUCUGGGUUUCCCAUUCUCACAAAACACACACGGAUAGUCCAGAAUGGUUUGUUAAAGCAUAAGAUUGUUCCUAGCCAUUGGGGUGCAGUCCUAACUGCAAGAGUGGCUCAACAUGGCCGGGCUGAGCACUCUGUGAGACAUGUUUGAACUAUCUCAGGCCACUACUUCCACCCUGGUGGAUAUAAUGAAACCUAAGUGAGAGUGCCAGACGUGGGGGCAACCUGUGUAGACUACGACAGUGGGCUUCACCGACCAGGUGCUGGUUGUGGAUGCACACCAUAUAGACAGAACUUCUUCCCACUGAUAGUUAAGGAAAGGUGGAGAUGUCGGGGACCAGACAUCUGAACUAAGCAAAGCUAGAGCCCUGCCCUGAGCAGAUUCCUGAGAAGGGCUUGACCUUUCAAAGAACUUCUCCCCAGAAGACUGUUGCCUCAUUGUCUAAGGAGAAUAUCUUGCAGUUUAAUGAUUUCUCUUAUGUUUUUGGGCACUUCCCAGUACUCCCCCGCCCUAAGCUUCAGUUCCUGCUUCAAUUCCUGCUUCAGAUCUUUAAAUGCUGUACAUUCCUCUCAAUAAACGAGACCUUG